rnacentral:rRNA from 1 species
UACGUAGGGGGCAAGCGUUGUCCGGAAUCAUUGGGCGUAAAGAGCGUGUAGGCGGCCCGAUAAGUCCGCCGUGAAAGUCCAGGGCUCAACCCUGGAAUGCCGGUGGAAACUGUCGGGCUGGAGUCCGGAAGAGGCGAGUGGAAUUCCUGGUGUAGCGGUGAAAUGCGCAGAUAUCAGGAGGAACACCGGUGGCGAAGGCGGUUCUCUGGGCAUUACCUGACGCUGAGACGCGAAAGCGUGGGGAGCGAACAGG